rnacentral:lncRNA from 1 species
GAACCAUGGAUCUGGUGCGGAUCGACAGACGAACGGGACAAGAGACGCAGCGGAAGUCGGAAAUCGAAGAUAACCCUAGGUUUUGGUGGUUUGUUCGGUAGAAAAGUUAGGGUUAAGCUUUUGAGAGAGUUUAAACGGAGAAAAGGGAGAUUUCACCGAUUGAAUCGGCGGAAUAGAAGAGAUCUCAACUUUAAAUGGAGAAAUUGAAGGAUAGGGCGAAAUCAAUCGGUCAAAGAUGAGUAUGGUGAGGAGAAGAUGGAUCUGAGAAGUGUUCGGUGAAAAGUGACUUACGGAGGAAGGGAGUCGUGGAAGGAAGGCUCUCGAGUGGAAAACCCUAAAUGACGAGAGGUGGCUUCGAGAGCAAUGGUCUGAGGAAGGAAUGGCGCAAAGAGAAAUGAAGUUCUGUUGAAGGCAUGUGCUGGUGUGGUGUGAAUAAGCCACGAGUCUGACGCGGAGUGGUGGCAAAGUGUUCACGUGGAGGAGUGAGAAACUGAUGGUGGAAAAUGAGAGAAUGGUAAGUGUGAGAUGGAAGGUGGCUAGAGGAGAUCCUUUGGGAUUCUCUAGCCUUGACUUUCAAGGUAGAAUUGCUCUGGAGUAAUUCUCAACAGUAAACAAUUCAAUUAUCUCAAAAGUAAGUACAAUAAGUGUAGGCAUGGCUAUAUAUAGGACUAGAAGUCCCCAUACCUAACACAUUUACACAGUACAUAAAAGAAAAACUACACUAAAAACAUUGGGCUUGGGCCCCGUGUAUCAGUGCUUAGCACUAGAUCUCUCACAAAAGAUGGCGCUCAACACUAAACCUCU